CCUACGGGAGGCUGCAGUAGGGAAUUUUCCACAAUGGGCGAAAGCCUGAUGGAGCAACGCCGCGUGGGUGAAGAAGGUCUUCGGAUCGUAAAACCCUGUUGUUAGAGAAGAAAGUGCGUGAGAGUAACUGUUCACGUUUCGACGGUAUCUAACCAGAAAGCCACGGCUAACUACGUGCCAGCAGCCGCGGUAAUACGUAGGUGGCAAGCGUUAUCCGGAUUGAUUGGGCGUAAAGGGAACGCAGGCGGUCUUUUAAGUCUGAUGUGAAAGCCUUCGGCUUAACCGGAGUAGUGCAUUGGAAACUGGGAGACUUGAGUGCAGAAGAGGAGAGUGGAACUCCAUGUGUAGCGGUGAAAUGCGUAGAUAUAUGGAAGAACACCAGUGGCGAAAGCGGCUCUCUGGUCUGUAACUGACGCUGAGGUUCGAAAGCGUGGGUAGCAAACAGGAUUAGAUACCCCAGUAGUC
rnacentral:rRNA from 1 species